rnacentral:tRNA from 3 species
GCCCCGAUGCUGGAAUUGGCAGACAGAUACGGCUUAGGACCGUAUGCCCAAAAGGCGUGGAGGUUCAAGUCCUCCUCGGGGCACCA